rnacentral:rRNA from 1 species
CUGACGAGUGGCGACGGGUGAGUAAUACAUCGGAACGUGCCCAGUCGUGGGGGAUAACUACUCGAAAGAGUAGCUAAUACCGCAUACGAUCUGAGGAUGAAAGCGGGGGACCUUCGGGCCUCGCGCGAUUGGAGCGGCCGAUGGCAGAUUAGGUAGUUGGUGGGAUAAAAGCUUACCAAGCCGACGAUCUGUAGCUGGUCUGAGAGGACGACCAGCCACACUGGGACUGAGACACGGCCCAGACUCCUACGGGAGGCAGCAGUGGGGAAUUUUGGACAAUGGGCGAAAGCCUGAUCCAGCAAUGCCGCGUGCAGGAUGAAGGCCUUCGGGUUGUAAACUGCUUUUGUACGGAACGAAAAAGCUCCUUCUAAUACAGGGGGCCCAUGACGGUACCGUAAGAAUAAGCACCGGCUAACUACGUGCCAGCAGCCGCGGUAAUACGUAGGGUGCGAGCGUUAAUCGGAAUUACUGGGCGUAAAGCGUGCGCAGGCGGUUAUGUAAGACAGAUGUGAAAUCCCCGGGCUCAACCUGGGAACUGCAUU